UACGUAGGGUGCAAGCGUUAAUCGGAAUUACUGGGCGUAAAGCGUGCGCAGGCGGUUUUGUAAGUCUGUCGUGAAAUCCCCGGGCUCAACCUGGGAAUUGCGAUGGAGACUGCAAGGCUAGAAUCUGGCAGAGGGGGGGUAGAAUUCCACGUGUAGCAGUGAAAUGCGUAGAGAUGUGGAGGAACACCGAUGGCGAAGGCAGCCCCCUGGGUCAAG
rnacentral:rRNA from 1 species